rnacentral:lncRNA from 1 species
CGGAUUUCGGGCAGCUCGGCGCGCAGUGUACAAGUAUGAUCUACAACAGACCCUUCAACAUAUCAGAACAACAGGGAAUUUUCCAUUUUGAAUUAUAGUCUAUAGAUACAUAUUGAUUCUCAUUCUUUACAGAUACAUAGAUUGGCCUGAUAUAAUUAGAAACAGAUGCUAAGGCACUUAGGCAUUAGCUUUAGCAAACUACAUUUUGGUUAUAAAUGCUGUUCAUGUGCAAUAUGUUAUUGAAACUUUGAUAUUGAUAAUAUAAGUUAUUGUGCUGAAAGUGAUGAGUUUUGCAGUUUUUAAUUGGUAGAUGCAGUUCUGGAUGCAAAAGAAAGACCUAUGGUGUGUAAAUUCAUACAAUGCUUAUGAGCUUAGCCCAGGUCAAGUUUACUUUUCUAGUUUUACAAUCUCAAGCUCUCAAAAUCAUAAAAAAAAUGUUACAACUAUUAUUUAAAAUACUAAUUUUAUUCUCUCAUUUUUUUCAACCUUAUCAGUUUAGUAUUUCAAAACAAAAAAAAAGAAAAUGGUCCUAAAAUUUCAAAUGUGGAUCAAAUUAGUUCAUUUUGAUCUCAAGUGUUAUAAAAUAUGCUAAAAAUGACUAAUUUGACCCACAUUUAACAUUUUUAGACUAAACUGGUAAGGUCAAAAAAUAUGAGGAAGUAAAAUGAGUAUUUACUCCUUAUUUUAACAUCUAGAGUCCUUAGUUCAUAUCCUUCAGUAUCUGCUCUAAGUUCAAUACAUCUUCUCCAUCUUAAAAUAUGGUAAUCUUGAUAUUAUUAAUACAUCAACUUUGAUAGUUAGAUUUUUUCUUCAUAAAGAUUUUGAUCAUAUAAUAACAGGUUUAUAAAAGAAGAAGAAAAUUGGAUAAAAAGUUCAAUAGGCAAGGUACUCAGAAUUUAGGAAUCUCAUUUCACGAAGCAUAUAUAUAUAUAAUGUAUAUAUAGUGGAAAGUGGAAACAUUAACAUUUAGCCUUACUUCAAAAUUAACAACGUAACAAACAGAAUAAAGUAGUUAAUACUUUUCACUUAAACAUGUUACUCUGACUCUGACAAAGUAGAAAGAAAAAACAGUGACGUGAUUUCAACAUAUUCUAACGUUAACAUAUUCCAACGUGUUCACUCUUAGUAAUGUUGUCAAAACAAUCUAGCCGAACCUUGGUGGUGGUACUGGAAAUGGACCCACUGGUCUUGGAGUUUUUUGAGAAUAAGGAGGUGGUGGAGAAAAGAAGUAAAACGCCGCCGGUGGUAAGGGUGGUAGUAGCGGUGGUGGUGGAGUCUUACGGUGUCUAUGACUUUGAGGUGGUGGGGUGUUGUGGUGGCACCCUGACCCAUUAGGUGGUGUCCAUAACUUGGGUUCAUGACCCAAAUGUGCACCCGAAAUGGGGUAGGAGUAGAUCAGAGAAUAUGAAUUAAAGUGUAAGAAAGCUAAGAGAAUCACAAUCCACAUUUGAAAGCUACUCAUCUUUUUUUCUUCUCUUGUGAUACCCACUUAAAAAGUCUAAAACUUCACACA